GAGCGGGGAGCCGGGCGGCUGCAGAGGAGCCAGCUGCAUGGGGUGCUGUGUGUUUUUCAGGGCGCCCUGCGUCCGGCAGAGGAGGCGAGCAUCCCGCUCAGGUGAUGAGGAACCCCUCGCGCACCCAGCGCAGAAGGCUGCUGCGGCCGGACGCCUCCAUUGUUUGACCACAACAAGGGCCGGAUUCUCACCCAGCAGGAUCCUAAGGCCUUUGUAGCCCUUCAGCCACUGUGGGCCCUGCCUCUGCCUGUUCUUCUGGAAUGUCUUGGGGGUUUUGAUCCUGUCAUUGUGACCUGCAAAUCCAAGAGACACAUCUCUGGAAGAUAAGCGAGCUUCUUCCUCAAGACCAAAAAAGGAGAUGGCAUGAUACCCAUGUAGGGAAUUCCCCAAAGCAAGACUUGCCAUACCUGGACCCUGAGGAGCCUGCUUGCUGGAGAGGCUUUUGUGUCUGAUGUGCAGGAGGCAGAAUGCCAAACUGACUCUUCAAGGGGCGACUGCAGGGGCUCGAGACCAGCCAGCAGUAUCUCAUCCUUCGAUACAGGGGAUAUACUGUACAGUCCUUUUUCUAGAAGUGAGAAGUACAACAUUACUCUACAAGAGGAAGAUUCUAGGGGCUCAAAAACAAAAAGGUUUGCACCUUGAGAGCCCUUUGGAAUGUUGACAACUCAGGAUCUAAAACAAAGUUCUAUGUUAAUGAGUUACAGAAUACACGUGGAAGUCAAUGUCACUUUAUAAUCAAUAAUAAUACUGAGUGAGGAACACUAUGCAGGAAGAAACCUUCCAUAGAAAGACAGGCAGGGAAAAGCUUAGGCUGAUCUUAAACUUACCUAAUAGAGCAAGCCUGAGAUAGACUGCCAAAAUGGCCAAAUAAGAGACUCUAUGAAAUAACAGUCUUGUAACUGUAGUAAUUGUAAGGAAAUUUUCUCCUCCAAAUCACGAUACCAAAUAGGAAAAAUGAUCUACAAGUGCCCCAUGUGUAGGGAAUUUUUCUCUGAGAGAGCAGAUCUUUUUAUGCAUCAGAAAAUUCACACAGCUGAGAAGCCCCAUAAAUGUGACAAGUGUGAUAAGGGUUUCUUUCAUAUAUCAGAACUUCAUAUUCAUUGGAGAGACCAUACAGGAGAGAAGGUCUAUAAAUGUGAUGAUUGUGGUAAGGAUUUUAGCACUACAACAAAACUUAAUAGACAUAAGAAAAUCCACACAGUGGAGAAGCCCUAUAAAUGUUAUGAGUGUGGCAAAGCCUUCAAUUGGAGCUCCCAUCUUCAAAUUCAUAUGAGAGUUCAUACAGGUGAGAAACCUUAUGUCUGUAGUGAGUGUGGAAGGGGCUUUAGUAAUAGUUCAAACCUUUGCAUGCAUCAGAGAGUCCACACCGGAGAGAAGCCCUUUAAAUGUGAAGAGUGUGGGAAGGCCUUCAGGCACACCUCCAGCCUCUGCAUGCAUCAAAGAGUCCACACAGGAGAGAAACCCUAUAAAUGUUAUGAGUGUGGGAAGGCCUUCAGUCAGAGUUCGA